GGAGGGUGCGGGCGUUGUCCGGAAUCAUUGGGCGUAAAGGGCGCGUAGGUGGCCGAGUAAGCGUGCGGUGAAAGCUCGGGGCUCAACCCCGAGUCGGCCGUGCGAACUACUCAGCUCGAGCACUGUAGAGGCAGGCGGAAUUCCGGGUGUAGCGGUGGAAUGCGUAGAGAUCCGGAAGAACACCGGUGGCGAAGGCGGCCUGCUGGGCAGUUGCUGACACUGAGGCGCGACAGCGUCGGGAGCAAACAGGAUUAGAUACCCUGGUAGUCCACGCCGUAAACGAUGGGCACUAGGCGCUUGGGGGAGCGACCCCCCGAGGGCCGGCGCUAACGCAUUAAGUGCCCCGCCUGGGGAGUACGGCCGCAAGGCUG
rnacentral:rRNA from 1 species